rnacentral:rRNA from 1 species
UGGGGAAUAUUGCACAAUGGAGGGAACUCUGAUGCAGCAACGCCGCGUGCGGGAUGACGGCCUUCGGGUUGUAAACCGCUUUCAGCCAUGACGAAGCUUUUGUGACGGUAGUGGUAGAAGAAGCACCGGCUAACUACGUGCCAGCAGCCGCGGUGAUACGUAGGGUGCGAGCGUUGUCCGGAAUUAUUGGGCGUAAAGAGCUUGUAGGCGGUUUGUCGCGUCGAUAGUGUAAACACGCAGCUUAACUGUGUGCCUGCUGUCGAAACGGGCUGACUAGAGGAGGGUAGGGGGGAAUGGAAUUCCCGGUGGAGAGGUGGAAUGCGCAGAUAUCGGGAGGAACACCAGUGGCGAAGGCGGUUCUCUGGACCUUUCCUGACGCUGAGAAGCGAAAGCGUGGGUAGCAAACAGG